CAAAAUCCUUACCUUGAAGUUGCCAUCCCAGGCAAACAGCGCUGUCGGAGCUAGCUGCCCUAGGAGCUGGGCUGCAUGGCAAUGCCACAGCCAGCCAUGCUUUGUGUGAGUGCCCUAAUUGGAAGUGCCAGGUCUCAUCCAUCCAGCAAAGCGUGCAGCGAGCAGAGUUGCCUGCCUGGGCUCGGAACUGUCCUACUACGCUCCUGGCUGAGAAAGGAACUGUAAUCACACCCCUACAAUAUAGGCAACUGCUUGAGGAAAGCUGGAGGAGAGUCUUCUUCGAAAACGUUAUGAGGAUAGACUCUUCUUUCCAAUAACAGCUAUCCAUGGGCAAGUAACUCAAGAAGAUCCAAGAUUUAACUGUGCUCUGUGUGAGGAUACGUAUCUUUUUGUGUUUCUUUGAACCUGCCAUUUGCCUGGAGCUUUUGAGAG
ensembl:lncRNA